CUUUUACUUAGGCUUGAGUUAUAAUUUGAAAUGCAAAUUGAAAACACUUUGAUCUUUUUUCCCAUUCCGAUGCCAGCGAUAGUCAGUGGUUUCAGUCAAUAACCUCUGCAUUUCUUUGUGAAUAAAACAGGGUCCUGAGGUUCACCUACCUCAACUUAACUGUGCAAAAUGCGUCCAGCACCUCUGAAGAAGAUACAUUUCCUAUUAGCACCAGCUGCAGUGAUGUGCCUGCAAUGAAGCUGAGGAAUCCUUUGUCCUAUAGUGAGAGCUAACAGCCAGCAGGAAAACAAGAAGAACUUUU
rnacentral:lncRNA from 1 species